UAUGCAUGUUAUAUGUGGACCUUAGAUUGUAUGCUCCUUGGGGGCAGGGACUGAUGUGAUUGUGCACUGUGUACAGCGCUGCAUACAUUUUCAGCGCUAUAUAAAUACC